UGCAAAGAGUAAGAAGAAUAUGUCGUCAACACCUACACCGACAACAGUUCCUUUGAAACCUUGUCCGUCUGGUUGGAUGACCAAUGGAUCUUUUUGUUACAAGAUGAUGCCGCGGAGCAAGACCUGGACAGAUG